UAAUUCCUCCUAUGUCACAGGAAUAUUGCACCUUCCUUUAGGCCCUGUUUGUUUCAGAUUAUAAUCUGACAAGAUUAUAUAAUCUGGAUGGGUAAACAAAUACCUAGAUUAUAGGUCCAGAUUAUAUAAUCUAGUACCUAGAUUAUUAUAAUCUCAUUGUGAAAAUCAGAGGGCAAUAGGUUAAAGCGUGCUGCCUCGUUGGAGGGCCGCCCUACAUGUUUAUAUAGGCAUAAACAACAUGCGCAGGAUUUACAGGAUCGUAACAAACUAGAGAAGCUUCAGGAAUUCUAGUUACAACAGAAUAUCCCUAUCUUUAUCUUCCCAGAGAUGCUUACUCUUGUUUGUUACAGAUAUUUGUUUACAAUCUAAUCUUAUCUUCUAACACCCUCCCUCAAUCAUAACCGAGUGAGGUUGAGAUUGACUUUGAAAUUCUCCAGAAGCCGAACUGAAAGAGGUUUAGUAAACCCAUCUGCAACUUGAUCUCCAGUAGGCACAUAUUCUAUAUCAAGUAGUUUCUUUGCGACCCGAUCUCUCACAAAAUGAUAAUCCACUUCAAUAUGUUUUGUUCUUGCAUGAAAGAUAGGAUUGGCUGACAAAUAUUUAGCUCCCAAAUUGUCACACCACAACUUAGCUGCUCUAGGACUUUUAAUACUAAUUUCAGUGAGUAAAAUUUGUACCCAUAUCAACUCUGCAGUAGCAUUGGCCAAAGCUUUAUAUUCAGAUUCAGUGCUAGAUCUUGACACCGUAGGUUGCUUUCUUGCACUCCAUGAGACAAGAUUUGAUCCUAAGAAAACAGCAAACCCACCUGUAGAUUUUCUAUCAUCUACACUGCCAGCCCAAUCUGCAUCGGAAAAGGCACUAACAAGAGUAGAAUCUGAUCUAUGGAUAUGCAGCCCUAAGUUUGUACAUUGCUUGAUGUAUCUAAGUAUCCUUUUGACUGCUGCCCAGUGCAACGUAGUAGGAGCAUGAAGAAAUUGACAAACUUUAUUAACUGAAAAUGCAAUAUCAGGUCUAGUUAAAGUAAGAUAUUGUAAAGCCCCCACUAUACUCCUGUACUGGGUUAUAUCUUUUUCUCCUAAAGGUGACCCUUCAUGUAUAGAUAGCUUCUCACUAGUGGAAAGAGGUGUACUGAUCGGUUUGCAGUCAGACAUACCAACCUUUUUAAGUAAAUCUGAAGCAUACUUGUCUUGAGUCAAGAUAAUACCAUCUCGUACCUUAUUCACCUCUAUUCCUAGGAAGUAGUUGAGGUCACCCAAGUCCUUGAGUGCAAACUCUUUGUUGAGAUCACUUAGUAAUGCUUCUGUUGCUUUGUGAGUGGAGCUUGCAACAAUUAUAUCAUCAACAUACACAAGCACAAAAAUAGUAACACUUCCCUUAUUGUAGAAGAAUAAUGAUGUGUCAGCCUUAGAUGCUUGAAACCCAAGAGAAAGAAGCUUAUUGCUCAAUCGUGAAUACCAUGCACGUGGAGCUUGUUUCAAUCCAUAGAGUGCCUUAUCAAGUUUGCACACAUAGUUGAGUUUUGUGGAAUCCUCAUAUCCUGGAGGUUGCUGCAUGUAGACUUCCUCCUCCAAUACUCCAUGAAGGAAUGCAUUCUGAACAUCAAGCUGACGUAGACUCCACCCUCGUGACACAGCAAUAGAAAGAAUUAUACGAAUGGUAGCAUGUUUAACAACAGGACUGAAAGUAUCAUCAUAAUCUAUCCCAUAUUGUUGUUUAUACCCUUUAGCUACUAGUCGUGCCUUGUACCUAUCCAAGCUUCCAUCGGCUUUCCUUUUAAUUUUAUACACCCAUUUGCAUCCUAUAACGUUCCUACCUUUUUUUGGAGGAACAAGGUGCCAAGUUUUAUUUUUCAUAAGAGCCGAGUAUUCUAUAUCCAUAGCAUCUUUCCAAUUAACAUCUCCUAAAGCUUCAUUUAGAUCAUAAGGUUCACCAGAAGAAGUAAAACAACCAUAUCGAAUAGUGCCAUCUGUAUAAACCUUUGGUUUCCUGACCCCUUGUUGAAGUCUUGUCCUUGGGCGAGUUGAUGCAGGGUCCAUAGAAGAUACACCUCCCAAAAUCGGUUCAGGGACUUGUGCAUCAGCAGCGGUCGCAGGCAGAGAACCAGACGGCUCAGAACUCGCUGGUGAUGUCGCGGUAGUGGGAGCUGUCAAGAAGCUCUCUUCCCGUCCCGCAAUGCCGCGGGACAUGUCGACGGAAGCCACAUAAUCGUGGCUAGCUGAAGGGUGCGUGGCAACGCGCGAGUCGCCACGACAGGUUGGAGACGGUGCAGCUGUCGAUGGCGCUGCAGGAGCAGAUCCCGAGUGCGAAGCACUCCCAGGAAUAUGCACCGCAUCAGCUUCAGGAGCAGUGUUUGGUACUGAAGGCGCUAGGACAUCCAUAUUUGGUGUGUGUUCUGCCUGAUCUUGAACAGAAUUGUCUCCAGAAAUUUGGUUAGGGUCAGUAGACAUAUCAGCCGCAUGAUCAAUCAAACUGUCUACCCCAGAAUUAAAUGUGGCAGGAUUUAAAAGAUCAGGUGAAAGAAGCUGGAUUUCAGAUCUCAAUCGUGCACCCGCAUUGCUAUGCAAGGAAGCAAAGGGAAAAACAUUUUCAUCAAAUGUAACAUCUCGAGAAACAUAUACCCUGCCAGUAGAGACAUCUAAACACUUAAACCCUUUGUGUAAGCUACUAUACCCAAGAAAAACACAUUGCUUGGAACGAAACUGAAGUUUGUGAGAGUUAUAUGGGCGAAGAUUAGGCCAACAUACGCAUCCAAAAAUGCGGAGAACUGAAUAAUCAGGUUGUUUAUGAAACAAGCGCUCAAAAGGUGUGUCUAGAUUAAGAAUUUUUGUGGGAGUGCGAUUGAUCAGAUAUGCGGCAGCUAGAAAUGCCUCAUCCCAAAAUUUAAGGGGCAUAGACGCAUGUGCAAGCAAAGAAAGCCCAACUUCUACGAUGUGUCGAUGUUUUCGCUCAGCCGACCCAUUUUGUUGGUGAGCGUGAGGACAAGAAACCAGAUGAGAAAUGCCGAUCUUAUUAAAAAAGGUAUUCAAGCGCUGAUAUUCCCCUCCCCAAUCAGUUUGGACAGCAAGAAUCUUCCUGUCAAAAAGUCGUUCAACAAGGCUUUGAAAUUCAUGAAACUUCUGAAAAACUUCAGACUUAUACUUAAUAAGAUAAACCCAGGUAAAUUUACUAUAAUCAUCAAUAAAGCUCACAUAAUAUUUUUUUCUGCCAACAGAUUCGGGUGCAGGACCCCAUACAUCAGAAAAAACUAGCUCGAGAGGGGAGCUAGAUACGCUAGUGGAUCUAGGAUAUGGGAAUUGAUGAGCUUUGGCUUUCUGACAGGCAUCACACACGGAUUCAUCUGUUGAGGGACCUAAACAAGGAAGUUUAUUCUUGCUAACAACCUGACGAACAAUGAAAGAAGAUGGAUGACCUAAACGAUUGUGCCAUCGGGACAUGGAGGGCUUGACAGCACCAAGAGCGUUCUUUAUUGUGGAUGUAGCGGGGAUGGGAUACAGUCCUUUGUGACAUCGCCCCUUAAGCAAAAUGUUCUUGGUGUCUUUGUCCUUGAUAACAAAAAAAUUUGGAUGAAAUUCUAUGAAGGCAGAGUUAUCUGAAGUUAAUUUAUGAACCGAGACAAGGUUUUUUUUAGCUUGUGGAACAUAAAGAACAUCAUUUAGAUGAAGAUUUCUAUUAGGGGUAUUAACAGUAGAUUGACCAAUGUGACUGAUUGUCAUACCUGAACCGCUGGCAGUGUGAAUUUGAUCACCACCAGCGUACUUCUCCCUGAUUGAGAGCUUCUCAAGCUCUCCUGUUAUGUGGUCGGUGGCGCCGGUGUCCGUGUACCAAUUGGUGUCGACGUGGUAGGAGUUGGUGGCGGCUCCAGCAAGCUUCUCAUCUGGGACGAAGUCUUCUUCAAACCUGUGCCAGCACCUGGCUGCGGUGUGGCCCUUCUUGAAGCAGACCUGGCAGACCGGCCUCUCGUCGCUGGAGUUGUUGGAACGCCUGAUGUAGCCUCCCUGGUUGCUUUGGCGCCCUCCGGACCAACUAGCACGGCCACCACGAGAUGACCCGCGGCCACCACGCUGGCCACGACCACCACUGCCUCCACGUUGAUUUCCACGGCCACCGCGACCAGCCAUAUUUGCUGAUCCUUGAUGCUGCUCGCCUCCACCUCUCAUGAGAUCCAACUUGGUCUCAAAAUUCAGCAACUGAGAGUAGAGGUCUUCAAGUGAGAUUGGAUCUACCCUCGUGACAAGGGCAGACACCAUCGGUAGGAAUUCUUCCUCCAGGCCGGUGAGGAUGUACUCGACCAUCUCUUCAUCUUGCAGCGGUCUUCCUGCUGCAGCCAUCUCAUCGCCGUAGCCCUUCAUUUUGGUGUAGUACUCGGCGACGGUCAUACUACCUUUUUUUGUAGUUGACAGAGCAAGGCGAAGAUUCACAGCCCGGGCUCGGGUCUGUGAUGCGAACAUGGCCUCGAUGGAGUGCCAUGCCUCCGCCGCAGUCUUGGCUGAGGUGACUUGAAUCUGCACCUCUCUGCUUAUAGAUGAGAGGAGAUAGCUAAGGAUCUGUUGAUCCUUCGCCUCCCAUUCUUCAAAAGCAGGAUUGGGGCUCUUCUUGCCCGCGUUGUCGACAGUCUCCUCAUCAGGCAUCUUGGUUGCGCCGGUGAGGUAUCCCUCCAGACGUGCGCCGCGCAUGGCAGCACGUACCUGGGCCUUCCACAAGGCAUGGUUGGCCCUGGUAAGCUUCUCAGAAACGGGAUGUGCAACAAGUGCGGCGGAGGAAGCACUGGACGACAUGAUGAGGGUUUUGGUAGAUGGUUUAGGCUCUGAUUACCAUGUAAAAUCAGAGGGCAAUAGGUUAAAGCGUGCUGCCUCGUUGGAGGGCCGCCCUACAUGUUUAUAUAGGCAUAAACAAC
rnacentral:lncRNA from 1 species